rnacentral:lncRNA from 1 species
CCAUGAAAACAGCUUUAUUAUUCUAGUUUUUUCAUUUCUUUGUCACGAAAUUGGAACCAGCAAAGCAGAACACCAAAUGUAGGGCUUGCAAUUUUCUGCUUCAAAAACUGGCAAACCCCACUGAGAAUCCUAGAAAGUGCCACUUUGCUUUCAUUUCACAGUAAAAAGCCAGGCUUGGGGGAAAAAAAAAAAACUGAACAGCCUCUGACAUGGAAUCUGUUUCUGCCCACGUCUGCCUCCCGUGGGGCACCUGUGUCCUCAUAGGGUGGCAGGGGUGCUGGUCUGCCCUCAACCCCACACUUCUGUCUCCCCCUUCCUGAACAGACUCCUUCAAAGCUACACAGAGUGGAGAAAACCUUUCUGAAUACAGCAUGACACCCAGAAGUCAUAAAUAAAAAGAUAAAUUUGGCUACCAAAAAAUAGUCUGUACUAAAAAACAAACAACAUUUAAAAAGCCAAAAGGAGGGGUACCUGGGUGACUCAGUGGGUAAGCAUUUGCCUUCAGCGCAGGGCAUGAUCCCAGGAUCCAGGAAUUGAGUCCCCAUCAGGCUCCCCACAGGACCCUGCUUCUACCUCUGCCUCUGUCUCUGUUUUUUUUUUUUUUUUUUUAAUUUUUUUAAUUAUUUAUUUAUGAUAGUCACAGAGAGAGAGAGAGGUAGAAACCACACAAAUAAUCUGAAGAAAAGAAAAUCUAAUAUAAAGACUUCUUGAAUAGUCACAGGGCUAUCCAGGAAGUGUAAGCGGACUGCAAAGAAGAGAGGAAUGUGAGGUCUGGGAACAGCAUCCCAACAGAUCUGAGAUUCGAACCUGGUUUGAAGGCGCAGCUAUGAUGCAUCGGAGGCCAGGGUGGGCAAGCAGAAAGCCUCCUGCCAGGGCACCCCAACAUGGCUGGGAAGAUGCCCGCUGGGACACCAGCGAGAUGGGCUAACCAGCAGCUGCAGGUGCCAGGAUACCUGCCAUGCAGACCCACCGGGAAGCCGCCCAGUGCCUGAUGUGAUGGAGCGUCACACAGCGCCGGAGCCUGGAAAGAAAGCACUUAACCCCAGAGCAGCAGCCCAUCCUCCUGCAGUGAGCUCCCAGCUCUCUCUACUGACCAAGCUCUCCAUCGUGCCAAGACUCGACAAAGGAAUGUACAGAGUCCAGCAGCAGGGUCACAAAGCCAGGCACAGGAGGACACAUGGGCCCUGAGAGGCAACGCAGCAGCAACUAGCACAGACGGAAACAGACCGCAGGCCAGGAGACGAGGCAGGAAUGCUGCUAAUGCAAUGAAAGCAUUUUUUUUUUUUAACUAAUUCCCUUGGGGCACCUGGGCACUCAGUGGUUGAGCCUCUGCCUUCAGCUCAGGUCAUGAUGCUGGGGUCCUGAAAUCGAGUCCCACAUCGGGUUCCCUGCAGGAACCCUGCUUCUCCCUCUGUCUAUGACUCUGCCGCUCUCUGUAUCUGUCAUGAACGAAUAAAUUAAAAAUCUCAAAUAAAUAAAUAAUAAACUAUCCCCCUGAACCAUAUCCAGUGAAAGUAUCUGUCACGGUGAAGGGCACAAAAGCAGUCAAUAACCCUCUCAAUACAUGGCACUGGGCAGAUGGAUGUCCAUAAAAAGGAACUCAUAGUGGGUCAGGGACUUAAACGUAAAACGUACAAUUAUGAAACUUUUAGAAAACUCAUAGGAGAAAACUUCUAGAUUCCAAGUCUCAGCAGAGUUCUUAGACUUGACACCACAAACAUCACACGUCAGAGGUAAAAAAGAGAAACCAGAUCCCGGCAAAGUUAAACAUGUUUGCUCCACUGAAGACUCUACGUGAAGAGGACGAAAAGACACAUCACACAGCAGAGAGGUCUGCAAACCAUGCACCAAGCAAGGAACUUGACUAAAGGACUCUCACAGCAGAGAAAUAAAACACAGUCCAUCAGAAAAUGACAGCUGAGGGCAUGAAGCAGGGCAGUCGCCAGAAUGAGCACUGUGUGCUAGAUGCAGCUGAUCAAUCAAUAACAAGCUCCAUGUUCACUCAAUUGAACUUAAAUUAAAAAAAGAAAGAAAAUGACAUGAGAUGUGGACAUCUCACUGAGUCGGCCACACACAGGGUGCCCGAGCUUGUCCACAGAUGGUCCACACCACCGCCAAGAGGGAAACAAAAAUUAGAACCACAAGGAGGUAACAUUACACACCUGUCAGACGGCUAAAAUUAAAAACAGGGACACACCAAAUGCUGGUGAAGAUGCAGAGAAACUGGGUCAGCCACACAUUGGCGGUAAGGACAUAAAAUGGUGCAUGCAGCCACUCGGGGAAACAGUGGGGCACUUUCUGACAAAGCUACACAUGUGCUUUAUACAACGCCUCAGGUGUACUUUGGGGCUUCAUCCCAGUGACAUGAAAACACACUUACACACACACACUCCCAUACACAAAUAGUCACAGCAGCUUUAUAGAUAAUGAUCAAAAAAUGGGAAGCAAGGGCAUCUGGGUGGCUCAAUCAGUGAAGCAUCUGCCUUUGCUCGGGUCAUGAUCUCAGGGUCCUGGGAUCGAGCCCCACGUCAGGCUCUCUGUUCAGCGGGGAGUCUGCUUCUGCCUCUUUCUCUCUGCCUGCUGCUCCCCCUGCUUGCAUGGGCACUCUGUCAAAUAAGUAAAAUCUUUAAAAAAAAAAAAAAAAAAAAA